rnacentral:lncRNA from 1 species
GAAGUAGAGAAGAAAUAUUACUUUAUGGUUUGACUAUUCAAAAGCCUACCAUUGUUAUACAAUUACGAUGUCUUUUUUUCAAAAUCAUGUUUUUUUAGAGAGGAGUAAACUCUGCCGCCGAUGAUGGUGGAGAUGGUGUUGGUGAGCAGCACAGAUUUGUGAUUGUGAUUUCAGUCAAGGAACCAGAUCUGGAUCUGACUGACUGGACGAAUUUUGUGAUUGUGUAUCUAUAUAUUAAAUACAUGUGGUUAGGGUUCUAGGGUUGGGGAAUUGAGGAUUGGGGAAUUGGGGAAGAUAAUGCAUAUAUGUAAUUAUUAUUGGUUUUAUUUAUUAAUA